ACGUAGGAGGCGAGCGUUAUCCGGAUUUACUGGGCGUAAAGCGUGUGUAGGCGGUUUGAUAAGUUGGAUGUGAAAGCUCCUGGCUUAACUGGGAGAGGUCGUUCAAAACUAUCAGACUUGAGAGUGGUAGAGGGAGGUGGAAUUCCGCAUGAAGUGGUGCAAUGCGUAGAUAUGCGGAGGAACACCAGAGGCGAAAGCGGCCUCCUGGUCCAUGUCUGACGCUCAGACUCGAAAGCUAAGGUAGCGAUCGG
rnacentral:rRNA from 1 species